UCGAGGCAUAGUCUUUCCCCUGCUCUGGAUGUCCUCUACCUCGUAUCGCUUUCCCUUUGUCUUUCUUGAUUUGAUCUAAUGUAUCUUGUUGAAGGUUCUGCAGGACUCGAUCAUCUGCCCCGGUGUUCUUGGAUCUGUGAGUCGGCGAAUCGCAAAGUCUCGAUCGCGUGUACGAUUCUUGGAUCGAUCGUCCGUGCUCAUAGAGACUGUGUUGAAUUCGAGACUGUUGACGCGUCUGAAUGACCUUAACCCUCUUUCCUUCUUGUCUGGAUUUGAGCAAGACAGAGGCGCAUGCUCUCGUCUUGAUGCUGAACGGAAGGUGAAUCCGAUCGUCCUUGCCCUCGAAAUGGUUUAUUCCGUUGGAUGGUUCUUCCCGUAGCCGUGAAUUUGAGUUGUCUUGUUGUUUCUCCUCUCUCGUUCUUUUCUCUGUAAUGUUGUUUUACGCUUUCACUGUUCAGAAUGGUUCGGUUUCCCUCUCUCUCGAGAUCAAUCCGGUAAACUGCCGUGGUGCGUAUGAGGCCAAUGCAUCACGGCCGUUAAUUAGAUGGGGUAAACCGGGAUAAUCAAACCAUGGGUUUACAAUCCGUUGCUGUUUGCGAGCAGGCAGGAGACACAAGCAUGCUUGCGGGACCCACCCUAUAGAGUUCUUAUUUUAUUCGAAAUUUCAAAUACAUCCACAUGGGUUGAAUAAAUAAGACGGGUUCGUAAGCCGACGGGUCGGAUCGAGCGAUUUCUCGCCCGACCCAAAUCGGGCGCGCUUCCUUUCCCUAUAAAUAUCUGCGAGGAAGGCGGUUGUGUCGGUUCUUUCCCCUUUCUUUGAGGCAGAGCUCAGGGAGAGCGCAGGGUUACUACCUCCUCCCCAAUGCCGAUCAACGACGGACCCGAGCAUGUGCCUCGUCGGGGUUCUCGGAUCGGCUUCAGAUUCGUGAUGUGUGUAUGAUCCAGACCCUAAAUCUUCUCUCCUCUCUAGAUGCUUUGUCUUCCGAUCGUAAAAGGAUGAUGAAAGGGUAGCUCGGUUAGGCAUCGAUAUCUUAUAUCAUCAGUUGCUUGAUUAUGAUAGCACAUCUUUUCUUUUCUUUUGAUGUUGUAUGUAUCAACAUCUUUGUGUCAGGUACUCUAGCAAAUUGUAUUUGUAGAGAUGAUACUGUAUCACCAAAGAAGUUAGUCUUGCAGGUGCAUGGGAAGUUUAUAAAUUUUAUUUGCUUCGUUUCUUGCUUACCUUUAUCAGGAUGUCUUUAGAGGUUUUAAGGUUUCAUUUUAUGCCUGUAUUUUCUUGAAAGAUGACUCGCUUCUCAUGUUUAUUUUGGUUCUCUCAUUUUAGCAGUAUCUAGCUCUUGUUGUUUGUUCCGUUUGAUCAAACACUCCUUUAGCUAAUUUAUUGAUGCAUUCAUCUCUUUCUUUGCUCCAUUGGAGUUUUCUGUUUUAUGUUUUGUAUCUGGCCCCCCCUCGUAAUUGUCUGAUUUCGCAUUAUUCCAAAUGGAAUGAUGGUGUCUGUUUGCAAAAGGUUCUGUUGGUUGGUCGCAAUAUAGACCUUCUAGCAAGGUGAAUAUUUUCUUAAAACGAUUAGUUCCUUGCUUUUGCAGGAUCAACUAAGUAGUCUGGAAUCCAGAUUUUGCUGACCCCAAAUAGUUGUGGCAUUAAUUUUGUUAUUAUUAGAAUAUGGAGUCCAGAUUUUGGCUUGGUGUUUAAACUUUUUGCAUGUCGAUAAAUGAAUGAAGGUAUAAAUUUAGUGUUUAUAGUUUAACAUUGUAGGUAAUUGUGAUUGUUUCAUGUCUAAGUUAUUUUUGUUUAUUACAGUCAUCAUUAUUGAUGUAAGGCAUACUUGUAUAUCAGAUGUAACUUUUUCAAAAAGGAAGACAUCCUUUUCUGUUCCAAAAUUACAGUGCAUAACAUAUGCUAGAUUGGUUCUAUUCUUGGUAGUUCUCUUGCAUAGUCUCCAGUCUCCACUGCUAUCUUUUUUCUCAAGGGGAUAUUUUUAUUCUCUAUGGUUCAUGUUGCUUGUAGAAAUGAUCAAAAUGGAGAACCUGUUUUUUUUUUGGCUAGUCAUCUAUUUUCCAGCUGGUAGAAAUGGUCACCGUUCAUGUGUUGUCUUUUGUUCCGCUUUGUUUCAGGAUCAAAUUUUCAAAUGAUCUACCCUGUUUAGCACGCGUUCUUAAUUAGUUUCUACUUGAAGGGUGUUUUAGUUUAUUUAGUUUUCUAUUGGAAUAUCUUGAUUUUGUUAUUCUGAUUCCAAACUGAAUUCAUCUACAAUGUGUGUCUUGGAAUUCUUCAGUUAUGCAGUCUUUUGUAGAACAUAAUUGCGGUUGUUUUCUUAUAUCAUAUGACCUCCUCCUCA